rnacentral:rRNA from 1 species
GAAUUGCAGAGCCCGCGAAUCAUCGAAUCUUUGAACGCACAUUGCGCCCCGGGCUUCGGCUCUGGGCAUGUCUGCCUCAGUGUC